UAAGCGGAGGAAAAGAAACUAACAAGGAUUCCCCUAGUAGCGGCGAGUGAAGCGGGAAGAGCUCAAAUUUGUAAUCUGGCGUCUUUCAGGCGUCCGAGUUGUAAUCUAUAGAAGUGUUUUCCGUGCUGGACCAUGUCCAAGUCCCUUGGAACAGGGUAUCAAAGAGGGUGACAAUCCCGUACUUGACAUGACCACCAGUGCUCUGUGAUACACUUUCUACGAGUCGAGUUGUUUGGGAAUGCAGCUCAAAAUGGGUGGUAAAUUCCAUCUAAAGCUAAAUAUUGGCGAGAGACCGAUAGCGAACAAGUACCGUGAGGGAAAGAUGAAAAGCACUUUGGAAAGAGAGUUAAACAGUACGUGAAAUUGUUGAAAGGGAAACGAUUGAAGUCAGUCGUGUUCAUUGGACUCAGCCGGUUUUCGGUGUAUUUCCUUUGAACGGGUCAACAUCAGUUUUGUCCGGUGGAUAAAGGCAGGAAGAAAGUGGCUCCCUCGGGAGUGUUAUAGCUUUCUGUCACAUACACUGGAGGAGACUGAGGACUGCAGCUCGCCUUUUGGCCGGGGUUCGCCCACGUUCGAGCUUAGGAUGUUGACAUAAUGGCUUUAAACGACCCGUCUUGAAACACG
rnacentral:rRNA from 1 species